CCGAGGCAAAAUCCGGCAUGCACAAUGGCGGAGCAUGUGCAGAACACCGCAUGUGGACGGCAGGUCGUGCAGCACCGCUAUGAGGCUGACCUCUGCACCGCCGGAGUGUGAUGCAGCCAAGAAACCGUGGAGUGGAUACUGGUGAGAGAACUAUUCGCAAGGACCGCGAGAGCGGCGCAUUGUACUCUGCCGCGCACAACUUCGGUGUCUUGACCUGGAAGACUGCGACCCACCUACAAGACGCACGGCCAUGUGUGUUCGCCAAGACAGAGAGCAUCAACAACACAGAGGACAUGGACAUCCCAGCGGUGCUGUUUCGAUGCACUACGAGGGAGCCGAGGCGAAAUCCGGCAUGCACGAUGGCGGCGCAUGUGCAGAACACCGCAUGCGGAAGGCAUGUCGUGCAGCACUGCUCUGAGGCUGACCUCUACACCGGCGGAGGUACUGCGGCUGACCAGAGCCAAAAUGUUUACUGACUGUAGUUAGGGCACGUACCUCUGAAUGGUGAUAUGUGAAUGCUGCUCUCUCGCCCAUUGUCGUGGUUGGCGCCAUGUGCUUCAACACCAUCGGCUGCGCGGUCACUUCAUCAACUGGGGGCAAGAGGAUUUUGGCCUUUGAUUUGUCAAAGGGCGCCUCAUCAAGGCCUAAAUAGACUCAGGAAGUACUUGGAGUGCGCUACGAGCUCGAAUAUAAGCUAUAAUUUACGAGAAGAUCAUGCCCUCUAACGGGAACUUCGCACCAAUAUAACUGCAGCGACGUUGUUUCGUUCUUUUAUGUAUUAAUUUAGAUGAUUUGUUUCGAUAUAAAAUUUGUGUGAUUGAAUAAAAGCUGUUUAGAGUUGAAA